GGGGAUUUAGCUCAUUGGUAGAGCGCUUGCCUAGGAAGCGCAAGGCCCUGGGUUCAGUCCCCA
rnacentral:tRNA from 1 species